GGGAUCGAACCCGCAACCUCAUAGUUCCUAGUCGGAUUCGUUAACCACUGCGCCAUGACGAGAACUCCUACACUUUGGUUUUUAAUAAAGAUUAUCAGACAACUCUGAGAGAGGGGCAUGAGAGUGUUGUCAUGAGAUAGCAGUUGUGUCUGACGUCAGAAACUAAACACUGUGUUUUAUGGGGAAGGAAAUGAUGAUCUUUUCCUACAUCCAGGCUGUAGGAUACCCAGUGGGGACAAGUGGAAAGAGAAAAAUCAAGGAGGGCAACUUCUUCAGGGGAAGGGGGAAGGGAUGGAGGCGGUUCACCUGAAAUGAAGGGAAAGCGCAUGUCUGCAGAUGAGGUCAGACGUGAGGUUGAAGCCCCCUCGGUGUGUAGGAAACAAGCCCUUCCUCAGUGGGAGAGGGGUGGGUGCCCGCUCUAGGUCCACCUGGGAUGGCCCCAGGGCUUGGAAGCAACUGGCAAGGUCUGUGCCUAAGUGGUUCUGUAUUUAACCUGAUGGCUUAUUCCCAAGGCCCCAGCGUCUCAUCAGAAGUUUUUUUUUUGUUUGUUUGUUUUUUGUUUUCCUGCUUAUGGCGUUGGUCGGAGAAAGCAACAAGGAGUCCAGGGAGGAGAUCUUCAGUAAGAAACUGACGCUUAAAGUGCUUUCAGAUGAGUUUGCAGAAUUGCCCAGAUGCUAGGAAUUAGGUUUUGACACGCAGUUAAGUGGCUAUGCGCAUGCGCUGAGAGGGAACCUCAGCAGAACGCUUUUGGACUGAAGUCUGGAUAAGUGCAGAUUUUUAGGAUGUUUAUAUGAAACACUUUCCACGUGGGAUACUCGCCCUUCUCGGCUACCACGUUGUCACGGCCGGGUUUCUUCCUCCCACACUGCUAUCGAUUUCCUGCUUCCCAUCAUUCCUCCAAAAAGCUCCUUAAACGCUUCUUCUUGCCCAGUGAAAACACGGACACAAAGGAUGGAAGUGACCAGCAGGAAAUGCUGGGGCCCGCCUGGCUCAGGUGGGGCCAGCUUCUCUUGUGACAUGAACUCUUUGCUGCCCCCUGCGGGUGAAGGCUUCGUUUACCUUCAAGGCCCUUGAGUUCCCAGAUUCACCUGCUCUCAUUGCAGAAGAAAAACUAAACUGGUUUAAAGGCGGAGGCCCCACAUCCCCUGGUUACUGACUUCCUUACGGUUUUGGCUUUCUUGUGGGAUUCACCCUAGAGGUAGGUUGAGUGGAGUCUUGUCCCUUCACUGUUUCGUGGCAAAUCCAAGCAGAUUGGCCUCAGCUUCCUUUUCCCAGCUGUAGAGGUCAGAAUCCCUCGCACCCUCUGUAUUUCCGCGUUUUCCUGCCUCCACAUUUAGUGAUGCUGCUCCGUGGGAGGCUUGGUAAUUGGAUGGGUAAUGGGGAGAUGAAUAAAACGUGGUUCUCUGGUUUCAGCUGCUCACAGUGAGUUGGGGGAGACGGAAAUGGAAGUGUAACUCGUGUUCUGGAGGCUGGCAAGUCCGAGGUCAAGGUUCUGGCAGAUUUAGUUCCUGGUGAGAGCUGUCUUCCUGGCCUGCAGGUGAGCAUCUCCUUGCUGGGUCCUCAGAGGGCAGAGAGAGAAAGAAUCCUGGAUCUUAGAAGCCACAGAGGUUAAUGAGAGUUCGUUCCAUCAAGAUGAAACAAAGCAGAGGACAAGCCGUGUAAAUACGUCUUAGGUACUUUCCUAGAAAAAUAUUUCGUUUUCCGGUUCCACUGGAAAAAUAAGCAGUUGGGACUUGCUAGUGAGUUGGUACUAUUUAGGAAUUUUUGAGGUGACUUUCCAUUUUUGAAAUAAAAAAGAGAUUAUUCAAACGGGUUUAAGUAUAUCAUCUCUUGUGUCUCUCACAUAUGGCUUUGUAUGAAAAAGAGAUCGUUCUAAAUGGGUAGCUUGGCAGGAAGGCUGGUGAUAGAAGAUGAUUUUAUGGAAAAUAGAGUGUAUGGUGAUAGGGAGAGAAAACCUGGCACUGAAUGUAGAACUCUGGCCUCUUUGGACUGAAUCCUGAAAAAGAACAGUGUGCCUUUCCCGGCAUUGUUGUUCUAAAGGUGUGGCAACAAUAUCAAAAGCAAAAAUCCAUUGUUGGAACAAUGAAGCUCAAGUUGAAGAAGAAUGUUGCAAGCAUCCCUUUCAUGUAAUGAAUUGAGUCCAGGUUUCAGAGGGGCGAUGGCUUAAUUGCUGGUAGGUGACCUUUUAUUAUGAUUAUUUUCUUCCACUUAAAAGAUUAAGCUUUAUUCAGGACAGAGUUGAGAGAACAAAGAGUAAGUUAGCAGCAGCAUCUGUUGAAUCAUGAGAAAAUAAAGGCCUAUACACAGAACAGCUCUGCUUGGCUUUCACGCAGGUCUGUCCCUUAAAUGCCAAAGGUACUGUUACCUUUUCCUUUUUUGCUCCUUAAAGGCUUCGUACCAGGCACCGAGCCCCUUUCCUCUUGUUUGUCAUUGAGGUUUUCCUGUUCUUUCUGUAGAUAGACAAAUCCUCUGCCUAUUCACCUGAAGCUGCUCAUGAAGGUCACCCGUGGCUUCCACUUUGCUGAAUUUGAAGCUCAGCUCUCUACCUGGGUUUACCUUGACCUUUCAGCAGCAUUGACAACCUUCAUCCCUUUCUCAUCUUGCAAACGCUUGCUUCUCUUGACUUUGAAGACGACAUCAUUUCCUGGCUUUUGUCUGGCCUUACUGGCCGCUUCUUCCCAGAUGCUUGUUGCUUGUUCCACUCACUGUGGACACGCCCAGGACUCAGACCCUAGGCUCUUGUUCUUUGUGAUAGAUUCACUCCCUGGGAAGCCCUGUCUGCUCUCCUGGCUUCAUACGCUCACAACUCCCAUAUGGGCGCCUCUGGCCCUGAAUCCCAGCCAUCUCUUCUGUGUCUCUACCUUGCCAUUGUUGCGUGUCUAAAUCAGAACUUGACCUCUCUCCUUCAAGUCAACUUCCACUGGCAUCUGCGGCAUGUCCAUCAAGGACAACCUCAUCCUAGGAGUGCCAGACACAUCCCUGACUCCUCCCCUUCACAUCCUACAUCUAACCCUUGGGGAAAUCAUGCCAUCCGGAAUCUUAGUACAUGUCUCAUUGUUACCACUUUAGCCUGACCCACCAGCACCCCAUAUGUGGGUUAUUAUAGCCGCCUUGUAACUGGUCUCUGGGCUUCUGUCCAUGUUAUUUAUCCCCACAAUCUGCUCCACCCCAGCUAGAUUCUUCAGUGCGUGAGUCAGAUCCUGUCCCUUCUCUGCUUCGAACCUUCAGUGAAUCCCUGUUUCCUUCAGAUUAAAGACCCAAGUCCUUAUCAAGGCCUAUAGGACUCUAUGAAAUCUGCUUCUUUCCAACCAACACCAUAUGCUCUCAGUUGUAUGUGGAAUCUAAAACAGGACACAAAUGAACUUACCUAUGAAACAGAAGUGGACUUAGAGACAAAACAGAUGUGUAGUUGCGAAGGAGGGGGUGGGGGAAGGAUGGAGUAAGAGU